rnacentral:lncRNA from 1 species
GGGAGAGAGUGGUUUUAGGUGGGAGGGAUAGACUCGAGUGGGGUUUGAAGUAAAGAUGUCAAAUACUUGGAGACACAAGUUGGCCGCUUGAGAGAGCUCAGGCAAGAGAGAGAUUUGGAAGUGACAAUUGAAGACAUACCAGAAGGUAGUUUUGCUAAGUCACAACAAUCAAGAUUGGAAGAAGAGGUUGCUCCGGGAUCCCCUUUCUCAAUAACAGAAGAAAGAGAGUUGCCAGAAGGAAUUUCCACUUCAUCCCUAGAAGUUGUGCCAGAGAACUUGAACGGUUCUGCCAUUCUCCCAACAUUUGAAAACUUCACUAAAAAACGGAAAAGAAAAUAUGAGCUUAGGUACAGAAAGCGUCCGCUUAAUUCAGAAAAUGCAAAGAAAGCACCGGAUUGCCUAAUAAAACUUUUAAACCAGAUGCAACUGUUCAGACUCAAUAAACUAGAGCGCUUUCAAAAUUUGGUUCUUCAAGAGUUGAGCAGUCUUAAGCAGGAUAUUCAGGCCCUGGAACACCUUGAGAAGGAGGUUCUGGAAUUCUGGGGGAAACAGUCUGCUGAUCUGCAGUCUUUCUGUGAUCUGCAAGUGCUGAGGUUCAAUUCAACUCAGACUUCAUAAGAAAGCCAAAGCCUGGUUUUAUGAUUGCAGCCCUCAGGAUUGAGUGUGGUAAUAAAGGAAACAGAUGAGGAUUCAUGCCAGUGCUAAGAAGGAAAACACUGUGGAUAAGAGAGAG